rnacentral:rRNA from 1 species
AACGUAGGAGACGAGCGUUAUCCGGAUUUACUGGGCGUAAAGCGUGUGCAGGCGGUUCGGCAAGUUGGAUGUGAAAUCUCCCGGCUCAACUGGGAGAGGUCGUUCAAUACUACCAAACUUGAGGUCAUCAGAGGAAAGCGGAAUUCCGGGUGUAGUGGUGAAAUGCGUAGAUAUCCGGAGGAACACCAGUGGCGAAGGCGGCUUUCUGGGAUGAUCCUGACGCUCAGACACGAAAGCUAGGGGAGCGAACGGG